rnacentral:rRNA from 1 species
AGUAACGGCGAGUGAACAGGGAAAAGCCCAAAUUUGUAAUCUGGCACUUUUUACAAGUGUCCGAGUUGUAAUUUGUAGAGCUGUUAUCCGUACUGGACCAUGUACAAGUCUGUUGAAAAGCAGCAUCAUUGAAGGUGAAAAUCCUGUAGAUGAUAUGGACUACCAGUAUAUUUGUGAUACGGUUUCUAAGAGUCGAGUUGUUUGGGAAUGCAGCUCAAAGUGGGUGGUAAAUUCCAUCUAAGGCUAAAUAUAAGUGAGAGACCGAUAGCAAACAAGUACCGUGAGGGAAAGAUGAAAAGAACUUUGAAAAUAGAGUUAACAGUACGUGAAAUUGCUGAAAGGGAAACGUUUGAAGUUAGUUUUGUAUUCGUUGGAUCAGCUUCGCAAGGAGUGUAUUCUGAUGAUAAGCAAGUCAACAUCAGUCUAUGAGUGUUGGAUAAGGGUUUUGAGAAUGUAGCAAUUUAAUUGUGUUAUAGCUUGAGACUUGGAUACGAUGCUUUGGAUUGAGGAACGCGUAGUAAGCUUUGAGCGGAUUCGAAAGGAUCUCCUUACUAUGGAUGUUG